rnacentral:rRNA from 1 species
UGCGAGCGUUGUCCGGAAUUAUUGGGCGUAAAGAGCUCGUAGGCGGUGUGUCGCGUCGGCCGUGAAAACCUGCAGCUUAACUGUGGGCUUGCGGUCGAUACGGGCAUCACUGGAGUUCGGCAGGGGAGACUGGAAUUCCUGGUGUAGCGGUGAAAUGCGCAGAUAUCAGGAGGAACACCGGUGGCGAAGGCGGGUCUCUGGGCCGAUACUGACGCUGAGGCGCGAAAGCGUGGGGAGCAAACAGG